UCAACAGGGCAAUCAAAUGCCCCACACCAUCCUUACACACAUUGUAACAAGAAAUGUAUCCCCACAAAAAAGGAACAAAAGAGAAAAGUACAGACAUUGCGUGGCUCUCACGUCUCAAGCUUAUUCAGACUUACAGACACUAGGAAACAUACAUACAUCACAGUGAAACAUAAUGGCAAAUCUUCCACAGAUAAAGCAAAUAAGCACCGAUUAAGAUGGAAAUACAGGGGAGAAAUCGACUCCAUAUGUAAGCAUCGUUUGUCAAACAAUGUCUUCUCCCGUGGUGGUGCUGACCUGGGAAGUCAAUGGAGCAGAGCAGGCAUUUCCUUGUCCGCUUCGAAGCUCCGUCCUCAGCAGUCUCUCUGGCAAGGUCUCCAUCCCCAUGUUGGACAGAAGGAGCCAGACAUAGGUCAGUAACUCCCCACAGGUCUUAACUUGAUUUGCAUCGAAUGACCUAGUUGCAUCGAAUAUGGCUCAUGUACCUAGGCAGCAACGCUCUAGCUGUAUUUACAGAAGCACGUCUUAACUUGAUUUGCAUCGAAUGACCUAGUUUUCUAUGUUUUUCACAUGUGCAUACCGAUUGAAAGUAGGCGCGCUGGGUAGGGCUUGGUAAGAUUUUACAUGCUUUGGACAAAAACACAGCUGGACUGUUGCUUAAACUCUUACGUGAAUCCCAUUCCCACAAUAUGUUGAAGGCAGGCAAGGGUGGAUGCAGCUCUUACUAGUUACCAAUACCACCCUACCUCUUCUCUUCUUCUUCUUCUCGGAUCACAACCCCAUACCCAAAAACACAACUUGGUCAACUUUAAUUCAACAGAAAAUGCCAAGGAAAAGGAUCACAAUCCAAUCUACUCCAGCCAUCCCUACCAUGGGAAUGCACCGUCAUCCAGCGUCCACUACGCCUACGAGUCGGGAUCAGCAUGGCAAUGCUGAGGCGCUAAUUAAACCCGGCAUGGUUCGCUCACACAUACAUACGGCGAGCUCACACACACACGCACACUAACUUGAUUUUGUGUGUAAAAAGUAACACUAAAACAAAGGGCAGGUUUGGGUUAACAAUGUUUGCAUUGAGGGAGCACGGACAGAGUACCCGCAAAACACAGCGGAGCAGCGCAAGCGUGAGGGGGCGUCCGCGCUCGGUCAGUCAAUGGUCACUGGGUUGCUACUCCAGCUAGAAACGGAUGGGAAUAAACACAAGCACCUGGCGUGCAAGCAGGCGGGCAGAAGCUAACCUGGUGGCACUUCCAAUGGACGAAGGAGAGGUCGCCGGCCAUGCCGCGGGCGCAGUUUACUCGGCCAUACGUCGAUGAGGCCAGCUGCAC
rnacentral:lncRNA from 1 species